AAUGGCCUAGCGGCUGAACCAGCCAUUUGACGGAAUGUAAUCGUUUUAUGACGUGCAUAGUAAUUAUUUUUUAUGCUAUACUAUGUAUCAACUAUGUUGAAUAAAGUUCUGAAUAGAUAAUUGAUAAUGACAAAAUUCUAUUCACAUCUCUUGACCAAUGCUUGUGCCAGCAGUCGCGGCAACACAAGUAAGAUUAGUGUUAUUCAUCUUUAUUAGGUUUAAAGCGUACUUAGACGGCAUUAUUACUAUCUGUUAUCUACAGGUACUCCAUUUGCUAGAGUUUUAUGUGAGAGGUAAAUAUUAGGACUAUUAGUGGAGAGAUAAAAUUCUUUGAUACUAAUAGAAUGUGUAUUGGUGAAGACAACCCUCUAUGUAUAAACUGACGUUAAGGGACGAAGGCUUGGGGAGCAAAUAGGAUUAGAUACCCUAGUAGUCCAGGCAGAAAAUUAUGAAUGUUAUAUGUAUGCUGUACUUGGUGGUCUUUUUUUAAUAAAAAAAGAUGCAAGUAAUACAAAGUUAGCGUAUAAAUGAAAGUGUAAGCAUUCCACCUUAAGAGUAGUGUGGCAACACAGGAACUGAAAUCAUUAGACCGUUUCUGAAACCAGUAGUGAAGUAUGUUAUUUAAUUCGAUAACCCUCGAAAAACCUUACCACAAUUUGUAUAGAAUGCAUCUAAAUAUAUUAUAAGUAUUUAAGUGUGUAUUACAAGCGUUGCACGGCUGUCUAAAGCUAAUGUCGUGAGAUUGUGGUUAGAUUCAUUAAAUUAGCGUAACCCCCUUGCUUCAUUUGAUUAUAAUAAAGUGUUUGAUCUAUAUAUUGGAUCAAGUAAUAGGGAAGAAGACAAGUCAUCAUGACCUUAAUAUUGUGGGCUAUAGACGUGCCACAUAUGUCUAUACAAAGAGAGACAAAAAUGUAAAUUUAAGAUAAUCUCUAAAAUAGAAUAUAAUAU
rnacentral:rRNA from 1 species